rnacentral:rRNA from 1 species
GAUGAACGCUGGCGGCGUGCCUAAUACAUGCCAGUCGAGCGAACGGACGAGAAGCUUGCUUCUCUGAUGUUAGCGGCGGACGGGUGAGUAACACGUGGAUAACCUACCUAUAAGACUGGGAUAACUUCGGGAAACCGUAGCUAAUACCGGAUAAUAUUUUGAACCGCAUGGUUCAAAAGUGAAAGACGGUCUUGCUGUCACUUAUAGAUGGAUCCGCGCUGCAUUAGCUAGUUGGUAAGGUAACGGCUUACCAAGGCAACGAUGCAUAGCCGACCUGAGAGGGUGAUCGGCCACACUGGAACUGAGACACGGUCCAGACUCCUACGGGAGGCAGCAGUAGGGAAUCUUCCGCAAUGGGCGAAAGCCUGACGGAGCAACGCCGCGUGAGUGAUGAAGGUCUUCGGAUCGUAAAACUCUGUUAUUAGGGAAGAACAUAUGUGUAAGUAACAGUGCACAUCUUGACGGUACCUAAUCAGAAAGCCACGGCUAACUACGUG